UUUGGGGUGGGGGGCAUGUCCUACGAAAAAUCUCAAAUGGUAUUUUAUUAGUUCAUUACCUUUAACCAGGCCAGGUAUGGGGGCAAGGGGGCUUGAUGAAGGGUUGUUGGGCCAAGCCAGGCCAGGGUUGGGCUCUUGUGGGGGCUAAUGCCCCUCAGUGGUGGAGGGGGACCAGGUCUUUGUCCCAGUGGAGGGGAUUACACCGGCGGGGCGGCCCUAACAAUGUCUCCCCUCCUGGGAGGGCUGGGCAAACCUGCUCCCCCCAAUGACGGGUGUGGUCAACUGCUCACUGACUCAGUUAAACACAGUGAGAGAGAGGAGGAGAAGAGAGGGAUAGGAGGAGGAGAUGAAUGGAGGGGAGAGAGAAGAAUGAGCAGCAUGGAGUGAUACUCAACAAGGGUAACAGGGUAACAGAGAAGGAGAAAGUGGAGAGGAGAGGAUGGAGGUUGGAGAAGAAGAGGGUGGAGGUUGGAGGAGGAGAGGGUGGAGGUUGGAGGAGGAGAGGAUGGAGGUUGGAGGGGGAACGAGUUAAGGUUGGAGGAGGAGAGGAUGGAGGUAGGAGGAGGAGAGGAUGGAGGUUGGAGGGAGAGCGAGUUAAGGUUGGAGGAGGAGAGGAUGGGGUAGGAGGAGGAGAGGAUGGAGGUUGGAGGAGGAGAGGAUGGAGGUUGGAGGAGGAGAGGAUUAAGGUAGGAGGAGGAGAGGAUGGAGGUAGGAGGAAGAGAGGGUGAAAGGAUCAGGUGUGGUAGGAGGAGGAGAGGGUGAAAGGAUCAGGUGUGGUAGGAGGAGGAGAGGAUGAAAGGAUCAGGUGUGGUAGGAGGAGGAGAGGAUGAAAGGAUCAGGUGUGGUAGAAGGAGGAGAGGAUGAAAGGAUCAGGUGUGGUAGUAGGAGGAGAGGAUGAAAGGAUCAGGUGUGGUAGGAGGGAAAGGAGACCAGUGGCUCAAAGAACAAGAAGAUAAAUAAAGGAGUGAAGGAGAAGAGCGGAAUGGUGAGCUAGGUGAGGAUGACUCUGCAGGUACUGGAUGUAAAAUGUGUAAGUCUGAGGCCUUUCCUUAUGUACUUCAAUAUCAAAGUCCUCAUUAUGCCCACGCACACCGCCCAUUCAAAUCCAAUGACAAAUGCACCAGAUAAUUCCAUUAGGGGGGACUUCUAUAGAGGAUAUUUAGGGGACAGUAGAGAAAUCCAGGUAACAUAGCUCAACGCGGGCAAAGACAGAUAUGGCUCCGUAACACUUAUCAGGGAUUUGGCAGCCCUGUUGAUUGAACAUGCCAAGUCCCAUUUGUCGGAGGGGUGUGCACGUUUGUAUCGACACGCUGUAACCUUGUGGCUCCACAGAAGGAGACAUCAGAUGUGCUGCUAGCGGGCACACAGGCAGACAGGCAGGCAAGCAGGAGAGGGUGGGUGGGUUGGUAGGCUCCCCUCCUCUUCCCUUCUCUCUACUUCUCUCUCUCCUACUCUCUUCUCCUCUUCCGGCUGCAGUGGACAGGAGCCCCCCUCCUCCAUCCCCAGUGGACGGGAGCCCCCCUCCUCCCUCCAUCCCCAG
rnacentral:lncRNA from 1 species